AUGAACCGCACCGCUAGUCUUCAACUUGUCAACUCCGUUCUCACUGCCACACUAACCUUCUUCCUCACUGCCUUUGCACCGGGCAAAUGGGCAAUAAAAAAGUUUGACAAACUUAGAAGAAACUUCCUUUGGAACGCGGACGAAGAGGCACAUGGUGGUAAAUGUUUAGUCAACUGGAAGCGAAUUUGUGCACCCAAAGAUGUGGGCGGCCUCGGGAUCAAGGACUUGGAGGCCUAUAGCCGAGCCCUCCGGUUAAGGUGGCAGUGGUUUGAAUGGGAACCCACGGACAGACCAUGGAAAGGUGCUAGCAUUCCCUGUGACUCCUCUGACCGUCAGCUUUUCGCCUCCUGCACAAAGAUUACCGUGAGAAACGGGAGCAAAACAUCCUUCUGGAUGGAUAAAUGGCUUGAUGGCAAUGCAACAAAAGAUUGUUUCCCAGCUCUCUUUGCCCUUUCUCGCUCAAAAUCAAGCUCGGUCAGGCAUGCUCUACAUCUAUACUACUAUUAA
rnacentral:rRNA from 1 species